AUUUCUCAGCGUGUGGUCAUGGCGUCCCCUUUGUUCAGCGACUCGUUUUUUUUGACUGUGUUGUGUACCAGUGUUAUACCUAUUACUCGGUGGCGUUCUCGUGUGAUGUUGGCCUGGCUGUGAUGCUGUGGGAGCAUUACAUUAACGUUGGUUGGAUGGUUAGCAACGUUGCUCUUAUGGCUGAGGUUGGCUAUUUCCAUUAGCCAUUUGUGUGUAGGCUGGAGAGGGGAUCUUAUAUGCUGUGUGUUAUGGCUGUUGUGUUUGUGGUGAGACCCAAAUCAGGUUGUAUCAAUUGGAUUAUCUGUUUAUAGGCCUGAUGACUGGCUAGUUCAGUUGCCGGGAGAUUCUUUGUCACCAAAGUGGCAGGGAGCUGGUUGUUGUGACAGGGGGAGUUGUCACUCCUGGGUAUUGAAAGUGCCUUGUGGUAUCACCUGCUUGGAAUUUGUGCCUUGCUUGCCAGUUUGGAUGCGAGUCUUCCACCACCAGUGUCUUCCCCUAGGCUAUUUAUCUUCCCUUGGAUGUUUGGAAUUACUGUAGCGGUGAUGGCCUUCACCUGAUCCUGCAGGGCCUGUAUUUGGUUCCUCAAUACCGCCAUCUCUUGGUCGCGUUCGUUAAUUGUGCAAAUCUGCAGUUGGCUCACGGGAUCUGGGCUGAGUAGGGUUCCUGGUUUCGUGAUAUGCCUGGCCGUUGGUUUGUAGCUGUUGGUGUAACGCAUGCGGGCCUCCUGUACCGAUAUGCCCUCCAAGACUGACAAUUUGAUAAUCUUUUUCAUCUCUAGGAAGGUCGGGCAUGCAGCGUAGUUGUCGGCCUCAUGUUCAUUGCUGCCGCAGUUAAUACAUCUGGUUAAGCAUUC